AAUAUUGCACAAUGGGCGGAAGCCUGAUGCAGCGACGCCGCGUGAGGGAUGACGGCCUUCGGGUUGUAAACCUCUUUCAGCUCCGACGAAGCGCAAGUGACGGUAGGAGCAGAAGAAGCGCCGGCCAACUACGUGCCAGCAGCCGCGGUAAGACGUAGGGCGCGAGCGUUGUCCGGAUUUAUUGGGCGUAAAGAGCUCGUAGGCGGCUUGUCGCGUCGACUGUGAAAACCCGCAGCUCAACUGCGGGCCUGCAGCCGAUACGGGCAGGCUAGAGUUCGGUAGGGGAGACUGGAAUUCCUGGUGUAGCGGUGAAAUGCGCAGAUAUCAGGAGGAACACCGGUGGCGAAGGCGGGUCUCUGGGCCGAUACUGACGCUGAGGAGCGAAAGCGUGGGGAGCGAACAGGAUUAGAUACCCUGGUAGUCCACGCUGUAAACGUUGGGCGCUAGGUGUGGGGGACCUCUCCGGUUCUCUGUGCCGCAGCUAACGCAUUAAGCGCCCCGCCUGGGGAGUACGGCCGCAAGGCUAAAACUCAAAGGAAUUGACGGAAGCC
rnacentral:rRNA from 1 species